AUGAGGCCAAAGAACUCAGCUUUCUAUUACGCAUUUACAACCUUCUUUCCAGAGAAAAUGUUGCCGCUGGAAGCAUUUUAGUUGGAGACCAAAAGAUGGACACAUCCUUUUUCAGGUGCCAAACUAGAGUGGAGCACCACAAGCUUUAGAGCAAGCAUAGGAGAAAUUGAGCAGCAUACAAUGUGCUUGACCUUUAGUAUGUGGAACAAAAAUAUAAAACCUGAUUCCUUCCAAGAGAAGUUGGGAUAGAUUGCUUUUGGAGAUUCUCAGUCAUCCAGGUCAUGGUUGCCCCAAAGGUGCUUUUUCAAGAGGCAACUGGACUUUUUUUCCCUUCCUCGAAGACAUUUAGUUUCUUAUGGAUGAGAACUAGUAAUCAGCACGGGUUUGUUAAAAAUAAAUCAUGUCAAACCAAUCUUAUUUCAUUAUUUGAUAAAAUGACUAAAUUAGUAGACCAGCGAAAUGCUGUGGACAUAGUAUACUUAGACUUCAGCAAGGCACUCAACAAAGUAGAGCACAACUUACUUCUUGGUAAACUAGAAAAAUGUGACAGCAUAGACAGCAUCAUCACCAGAUGAAUUUGUAACUGGCUGACAAACCAUACUCAAUGAGUAGUUCUAGUGGUACUACUUCUACUUGAAGGAAAGUAAGCAGUGGGGCAGCCCAAGGUUCUGUUUUAGGCCCAGUAUUCUUCAAUAUUUUCAUAAAUGACUUAGAUGAUGGAAUAGAAUCAAAUUUGCAGAUGACACUAAGCUGGCAGGAAUAGCCAAUACCCCAGAAGACAAACUCGGGAUUCAAAAGACCUUGAAAGACUUGAACAAUGGGCCCUAUCCAACAACAUGAAAUGUAAUGUGGAGAAAAGCAAGGUUUUACACCUAGGCAGGAAAAAACAAAGGUACAAGUACAGAUUAGGUGAAACCUGCCUCAAAAACAGUGAUUGUGAGAGGGACCUUGGAGUCCUCAUGAAUGAUCACUUCCUCCUGAGAUCCGAACUACCCCCACCCUUUUGGCCUUCUGGAAAGCGGUGAAGACCUGGCUUUUCCGGCAGGCCUGAGGCUGUUGAUCUCACUGUUACAAUCCUGCGAGAUCCGGCCAUGAAUGGAUGUGGUAUGCAUGGACUUUUAAUGUUUUUAAAAUGUUUUUAUAAUGUUUUUAAAUAAUUUUCCUAUGUUCUUUGUUAUAUUAUUUUUUUGCUGUAAGCCACCCAUAGUCCCUUGGGAGUUGGGCGGCAUAGAAAUUUGAUAAAUUAAAUUAAAAUCACUUAAAUAUGAGCCAGCAACUAAUACAAUCCUUGGUGAUAUAAACAGAGGUAUAUAAUCAAAAUCAUGUGAAGUAUUAUUACCGCUUUAUAAAAUCCUUAGUAAGAUCACACCUGGAAUACUGCAUUCAGUUUUGGUCACUACAUUACAAAAAAGAUGUUGAGACUUUGGAAAAAAUUCAAAGAAGAGCAACUAAGAUGAUUAAAGACCUGGAGACAACAACGUAUGAAGAAUGGUUGAAGGAAUUGGGUAUGGCCAGUCUAGAGAAAAGAAGGGCUAGGAGUGACAUGAUAGCAGUAUUUCAGUAUUUGAGGGGCUGCCACAAAGAAGAGGCGGUUGAGUUAUUUUCCAAAGUGCCAGAAAGCAAGACAAGAAACAAUGGAUGGAAACUAAUCAAGGACAGAAGCAAACCUGGAAUUAAGGAGAAACUUCCUAACGGUGAGUACAAUUAAGCUGUAGAACAGCUUGCAUUCAGAAGUUGUAGGUGUUUCAUCACUGGAGGGUUUUUUUAGAAAAGACUGGACAAACCACCUGUCUGAAAUGAUAUAGGGUCUCUUACUUGAGCAGGGGGUUAAACUAGAAGACCUCCAAGGUCCCUUCCAGCUCUAUUCUGAUUGAUAUAUUUUAUAUAUACUACAUAAAUGUACAUAUGCAUAUACAGAUACUUAUAAUUAAAAUUUUAAAAUAUGAAGUUAAAAGCUAACACAAACUAAUAAAGUAAGGGGGGGAAAAAGAAACAGAAAUAAAAGGAAUUCCUCUUUCUAAUCUAAUCAGAAACACUUAUUCAACUCCUUGCCUAGCCUCUAAAUUUAAUUCUUCAGUCUGCCCUAAUCUUUAGUUUGGGAUUCUUUGGAUGUGUUAGAUUACAAAUAUUAUACUUUUAGGGAACUAUGUAGUAGAAGGUGAACAGAAGGAGGAAGGGAAAUUUUUAAUAGCAAAUGGCUAGAGUAUAUUGUUCUGGAAAUUGCAAUGAACAGCAGCUGCAAUUUUGGAAAUGUUGCUCUAGUCUACAGAGCUGGACUUCAUAAAAGAAAACAAAAGCCCAUGGAAGCCAAGUUUUUUUUUUUUUUUAAUUUGCAUCUGGAAAAUAUCUUUGGUUCCCUGGGGCAGCAAGGUAAUUCAACUAUUUAUGUAUUCGAUUUAAUGAGCAAACUAGAUCUUGUUUAAAUGAGUUACUGCUUCAGUGGAGAUUCCAACCCCUCCUUCAGAAAAUAUUCACAUCAAUUCUUUUUGCCUUGCUUGAUCUACUGCUAAAAGAAAAGAACAACAUUUUGGGGGGAGACUAACUAUCAUGGUGGGAUACAUCACAUAUAUGCAUUUGAUGUGCUUAUUUUAGAAGUACAAUGGUUUCUUAUCUCUGUUGGAUCUUCAGCAGCCUGAUUCACAGAUGACAGGAAGAGAUGGGGAACUGGAGGGAGGGGGUGAGUGAUGGGAAAGGCCUCCCAGUUUGUUUCCUGAAUUUUAAGAUGAUUUAUAUAAACUGAGAUUGCUUCCAAGCACAAAGCUUCUUUUGUAAGCAGCCAAAGGACACACUCCACUUACUACCUUACCAUGCAAAUCAGUUUGCUUUGUAACUUAAGGCUGUUCAUUUUUUAAAUUAUUAUUAUGCUAUUAUAUUGGAGUAAAUGUAUGUGUUUUAACUGCACUUACUGUUUAUUAUAUGUUUAAUUCUGUAUUGCUGUUAUGCUAUAUAUUUAGUAUAUUAUAUUGAGACAUAUUUUUUUCUAAAUUCUUUUCUUAUGAGGAACUGCUUUGAGCUAGAUGUUAUUGGAAAAGGAACAUACAGCAGAUACUGUAUGUUCGAAGCUUUUUAAGCAGGGAAAAGAAGCAAAGAAGAAAAGAGAAAAUAGGACAACAAGAGUUCUUUUGGCACCAAUUCUCAAGCUCUUACCCAUACAAUUGAGAAGAGAAAUCUGUUUGAAAAUUUAUGGAACAGCCUAAUAAUGAUUGCUGAAUCUAAUCUAAAACUAUAAUGACGUGUGGAAAUGCUCUUGGGAAACAGAAGGAAGAGCCACAGACUGGACGAUAGCUAUUAUGACCACCCAUUCCAAAAGACUCUGGAUGUCUUACAAUAUACAAUGAAGACAGUUAAAAAGCAUGGACAUCUGGAGGAUCCAGUCCCAGCUAACCCAUGUUGGAUGGUAUAUUCUACUUGGAGAAGAAGAUGGUUCCAAACUAAAUAACCCUCCUCACCUACAACAAAAGUCCAGAUUCUCAAGAGGGACAGGUUUUGUAUGGCCACUUAAAGUACUCCAUAACUGUAACCAUUUUUGUUUUUGUCUCUACAAAUACAGAGUGACAAAAAUAAGUGACAAAAAUAAAAUAUGGCCCCUGA